rnacentral:tRNA from 1 species
CAUUAGAUGGCUGAAAGAAAGCACUGGUCUCUUAAACCACAUAAUAGUAAAUUAUCGCCUACUUCUAAUGA